rnacentral:rRNA from 1 species
UGAAUAGCCGGCUACUAUGUGCCAGCAGCCGCGGUAAGACAUAGGGGGCGAGCGUUAUCCGGAAUUAUUGGGCGUAAAGGGUGCGUAGGCGGUUAGGAAAGUCUAUAAUUUAAUUUCAGUGCUUAACGCUGUCUUGUUAUAGAAACUACCUUGACUAGAGUUAGAUAGAGGCAAGCGGAAUUCCAUGUGUAGCGGUAAAAUGUGUAAAUAUAUGGAGGAACACCAGAAGCGUAGGCGGCUUGCUGGGUCUUGACUGACGCUGAGGCACGAAAGCGUGGGUAGCAAACAGGAUUAGAUACCCUGGUAGUCCACGCCGUAAACGAUGAGUACUAAGUGUCGGGAUAAAACUCGGUACUGAAGUUAACACAUUAAGUACUCCGCCUGAGUAGUACGUACGCAAGUAUGAAACUUAAAGGAAUUGACGGGACUCCGCACAAGCGGUGGAUCAUGUUGUUUAAUUCGAAGAUACACGAAAAAUCUUACCAGGUCUUGACAUGCUCUGCAAAGUUAUAGAAA